rnacentral:rRNA from 1 species
GAUGAACGCUGGCGGCGUGCCUAAUACAUGCAAGUCGAGCGAACAGACGAGGAGCUUGCUCCUCUGACGUUAGCGGCGGACGGGUGAGUAACACGUGGAUAACCUACCUAUAAGACUGGGAUAACUUCGGGAAACCGGAGCUAAUACCGGAUAAUAUAUUGAACCGCAUGGUUCAAUAGUGAAAGACGGUUUUGCUGUCACUUAUAGAUGGAUCCGCGCCGCAUUAGCUAGUUGGUAAGGUAACGGCUUACCAAGGCAACGAUGCGUAGCCGACCUGAGAAGGUGAUCGGCCACACUGGAACUGAGACACGGUCCAGACUCCUACGGGAGGCAGCAGUAGGGAAUCUUCCGCAAUGGGCGAAAGCCUGACGGAGCAACGCCGCGUGAGUGAUGAAGGUCUUCGGAUCGUAAAACUCUGUUAUUAGGGAAGAACAAAUGUGUAAGUAACUAUGCACGUCUUGACGGUACCUAAUCAGGAAGCCACGGCUAACUACGUG